AUAAUAUUAAUGGACAUAGAAUAAGAAUCCAGAGUGAAUUACUGCUAAUCCGUAUACCAAUUAUAUAAAACAUAAUUUUCAAUAUUUUUGUAUGGAGGGAGGAGCCCGCAAAGGCAAAAGCGCCAAGGGCCAGUGAAAGCCAUAAUGCAACCCUCUUUUCCUCAAAUAACAUGUUUCAGGGCCCACAAACUUUAUGGAGAGAGAAUGCUUUGCAAGAUCCGAGCGGAGUUCCUCAUGACCAUGUCCUUCUUUGGCGCAGUCCUUGGGAGAAUGGAACACAGCCGGCUUUGACCUUUGAGUCAGAAUAAAAAACAAAAAAGCUCUCUGGGAAGGAAGCAGAGGCUUGCAGCUAGACGAGAAGAGGGCUGGUGUUGAUUCAAUUGGCCCCAGGGCCUGGCAAGCCCAGACUGCCAAGCAGUGCCCCUGUCACCAGUGUGUCCGCUCUCAGCAGAGCAGAGCCCAGCUCAGACCCUUCAUAAAUAAAUAUUGCUUCAGGCCCAAGUGUGUUGACUUAAGAAAGCUUCACCUUUCCCUGGCAAUGCAGAUUGUUCUGGGGGGAGCAGCACUCCAGCUAAGAGUUCUCCAGGGAGCGAACACAGCCUGGAAUUUGCUUUCAAGCUUGGUCAAGCUUUUGGAGCGCUAAGUGCUCCAUCUUUCAGAAGCCAAGGUUUCCGUUUGUUGAUUAACCAGCUGCUUUAAUUUUCCUCCAAUCCCCCAAGUCCCCCCUACUUCCCUUUGUUUUUGCCUCACAGCGGUCCUUUAUGGAAGAGUGGGGUGACUGAAAUUUGCUUUCCUUAGGGCAGCUGGUGCCACUUAAAACACAACUUAAAAUUUACCUGGACGGUCUUUGUUAUGGGGUGAGUUGUGUCCCCUCUGCAAAGGUGUGUUGAAGUCCUAGUCCUUAGUACCUCAGAACAUGACUCUAUCUGGAAAUAGCCUCACUGCAGAUGAAAUUGAGUUAAGAUGGCGUUGCGCUAAUCUGAUGUGACUGGUUUCCUCAUGAAAAGAACAUUACUGUGUGAAGAGACAGAGACACAGAGACAGAAGACCGUCAUGGAAAAACAGAAGCAGAGAAAGGAGUUCUGCUGUGAGAAGCCAAGAAACAGCUGGGGCCACCAGCAGUGGACAAGACAAGGAAAGAUCAUCUUGUAGAGGCUUUGGAGGGAGCGUGACCCUGCCAAUACCUUGAUAUCAGACCUCUAGCCUUCAGAACCGUGAGAGAAUAAACUUCUGUUGUUUUAAGCUACCAAUUUGUGGUACUUUGUCCCGGCAGCCCUAGGAAACUAUACAGUCUUCAAAGCAAAUAAUCCACACAGCUAGAACCUCAAGAAUCAGUUGACUGAUGUAUAGUAAUCACACUGAGCCCUUGUUCAGUGUAAAAACCUUACUUCUCAAAGUUCUUCUUUCCCCAUUAUCUCACUUUUGAAUACUUUGUGACCCAGGGCAGAUUUUUAUGAUCCCUCAUUUUACAGAUGGCAAAAUCUGGAACUCAGGAUGUAAAUCAUUUACCCCAAGUCAUACGUUAAGUGUCUCUGUGGGUUAGAAGAAAACAAUGAGUAAUAGAAAUUCAAAAUCAGCCCUGCCUCUGACUAGACUUAUAGGGCCUUUGGUGAGUUACCUGUGUAUCUGAACUUUGGAAUUUCAAGUACGGUCACUACAUUUGCUUAAAGAGCAUUAAAAAUUACCUUAAACAUGAAAAACAAGAAAAGGUCAUAAUAUCGGAAUAAAAGACACAUCUUUCAAAUUCAAUAAAUUUAGUUAGUUUUUUUUUUAAAUCACUACUUUGUCUCCCCUGACCCCCAGAAGACAGAUAAAAGGAUUGGCAUUUGGGAACCACUUCUGAAAUCUCUCUAGGCCUCAUUUACCUUAUCAGAGAGUGUUGGAUUUCUCCUUGAGUCCCUUCUACCACUUCACGGUUUAUGAUUCUCUGACUCAAGCCCAGAUUCUCUUUCUACUGACACAUCUGGAAACAAGAACCCCUGGGUGUGCGUGGCGACAGCCAGAGUUCCCUGAUCAGGGGAACCGGUUGAAUGAAUGUCCAGCUUCUGUCCUGAGACCACAAUAUAGCCUGUGUUCUCUGAGAGAGCAACCAGGGGUUGCUGUGAUGGCCUCAGGUAAGCUGUGGGAAGAACUGCCUUCCUCUUAGAAAGCGACCCCUCCCAAUUUGAGGCAAAACAGUUUGGGAUUUGAUGUGCAAACUGCAGCCAGCUUUCUCCCUGCACCUCCUGCCAGCAGGCUGGCUCUGGCUGGCUUUGCUCUCCCCCUCAGCUGGAGAGCCCCUUGGGCUACCAGGCCAUCAGUCCCCACGGGUCACCUGGUUGGAAAAGCCAACCUAAAGAAUCCCAGGCUUCCACCACAGGCUGCCACUGGGCUAAGCCUGAAGCUUGAACGUGCCCCAUGGCUACGGUCAAUGAUUUUAUGCUCAUCGAUGAUAAUAAUAAUCUUUUGCACACCAUUUUUGAACUAUUUUUAAAAUGCAAUAUCUUUUGGGGUGCCUGGGUGGCUCAGUGGGAUAAGCGCCAACUCUUGAUUUCCACUCAGGUCGUGAUCUCACAGUUCGUGGGUUUGAGCCCCACAUCGGGCUCUGCACUGACAAUUUGGGGUCUGCUUGGGAUUAUCUCUCUCCCUCUCUCUGCACCCCCUCUCAAACAUAACUAAAUAAACAUUUAAAAUCCAAUAUCUUCUUAGCAUAAUAUCAUUGCUCAGAGAGAUCUUCAUGAAAGAGAUAGGACUGAAAGGGCUCCCCGAAGAGGCAGGUGGUAUUUGAUGGGAGAGUAGAGGUGGGAAGGAUGGUGUGGUCUGUGGGGGGACUAAAGGACAGUCUGGAGGGUGGGAGGCGUGGUGUUUACAGCUAGGGAAAGCCCUGCCUGAAGGGGACGCUGAAUUCCCACAGGGAGAAGAGGGGAUGAGCCAGAAGUAUAGAGAUGUCACAGGCUUCUGAGGCAGACACACUGGGUCACACCCUAGUUCGCUAGUGUUUUCUGCCACCGCCUGCCCCCUCACUGUGAGGGAAAGCUCUCCAAGGCCGGAAAAGUUAAGGGAUCAUGAAAGAUCCGGACAGGGCAGGAACGGAAUGAAUCUGACAGGCAGGGGUUCUAUUAAAACGUCCUUCAGGGAAACAGUCAGACUACCUCCACCCUCUCAAUCUUUUGACCUGGUUGUGUUUAGUCCCUCCUUUUCCCUGAGGGAAAACAGCCAGGGUAACAAAAAUCCAAGGAAAUCAACAGGUCUUCAGACAGACUUGACUCCUCUAAGGCCCUCUGACCAAAUGACCAAGCCAAAGAACCAUCCUUCUUCCCCUUUGCUCUCAGGCAGGGUCCACAACAAGGGCUGAGGAAGUGACCUGAAAUUCAGCCCUUCCCUUCUUGGAAGGAGCUUAUCAUGUCAAGGAGGAAAGCUUUAAAAAUGCACUCCUUUUUCAGUGCAGAAGGAAAAAGGAGUGGGGGGAAGAAUUUACUGUCCUGCAAUAGUUUUCAGAAUAUAGAGGAAAAAUAUUUUCUACAAUAGGGCACCUGCUCCCCCCAAUCUGAGUGGAGAGUCUGCAGCCUUAAAGAGAACUUUCUCUAGAAAAUUUCGCCUCUACUUUCAUAAUUGUCCCAAUUGGAAACCUAGAGGAAUUUUUAUCAUACAUGAUGUUGAUGUGUUUAUUUCUUUACUAUGUUUUGUUUGCCCACCAUUUCCUGUUGCACCUGUUGAGAUCCAGAUUUGGUAGUGUGUGAGGAAGUGAGGCAUGCCAACCUAGGAACCAGAGGAAGACUGGGAGCAAACACCUAAUUAAAAUGUAUUUGGUUUUCCAUGACUUUAUUUAAAUUUGCAAUUUUUUAAUGAAAGCAAUAUAUGUACCCUGUCAAUUUGGCAUUUUUACUAUGAAAGUAACUUAAGUACCAAUUAUAGAGUUUAAAAUGAGUAUAGGCUCAAAAUAAAAAUAAAAAUAAAAUAAAAUAAAAUAAAAUAAAAUAAAAUAAAAUAAAAUAAAAAUGGUUCCCAUAUGGUCUUGUUCUCCCCAUAUCUGACCACGGUAAUUGGUUCUUUAUACAUUUUAUAUAAAAAAGCAUUUAUGCAUAUAUAACUAUGAGAUGUAUCCUUUCUUUAAAACAGAAACACAAAUGGAACCAAUGCUAUGCAUAGUGUUAUAUAACUUGCUUUUCUCACUUAAAAAGCUUCCUUGGAGAGUCUUCUUUUUUUUUUUUUUAAGUUUGUAUGUUUAUUUUGAAAGAGAGAGAGCAGAGGAGGAACAGAGAGAGAGAGAAUCCAAAGUAGGCUCUGUGCUGACAGCACAGGGCUUGAACAGACAGGGCUUGAACCCACGAACCAUGAGAUCAUCACCUGAGCCAGAACCAAGAGUCAGAAGCUUAACUGACUGAGCCACCUCAGUGCCCCUGGAGAUUAUUAUUUAUUGGUAGUAUGAUCAUAUGUCCCAUACCAGACAGUCCUGAUCUACACAUUCUAAACCAGCAUACUUAUCAAUAGAAUCCCUUCCACUCUCAAGAAAGUAUCAGUUUGGAUAAAGCUUCUGGUCACUCUACGUGUCAGGCCAAAUGGAUCUUUUUUGCUUUCCACAACAUGGAAUGUCAUACCAUGGAUGCCUCAAAUGUAACGAAUCACCCAUCCAUGAACAUUUAUUUCUAGUUUUUAACAACUAGAAACCAUUCAACAGAGGGCCUCCUUGUACACUUAUCUUUGAACUCCUAUGAGGACACACGUACACAGUAAGUUCCCAGCAGUGAAAAUUGCUGGGCCUAAAGAUUUUUGUCUGUUAGAUUUUUUCUGCAAAAAUACUUUUAUUUGCUUUCUAAUUGAGGUAUUAUAUUCUGUUGUAUAAAUAUAUCACAAUUUAUUUAUCCACCUUUUACAUUUUGAGCACUCUCGCCAAAUACUUCUCCAAAAAGAAGUAACUAUAGGCAUAGGGACCAGCCCAGAGUAGCCCAGACCCUCCCCCACCUCUUCACUGGACUUCUGAUGGGCCAGGUCACAAUCCCCCACCCCUGGUGACAGCAGGUUCUCAUCUGGCUCCUCCCCUUCUCCUGCGGGUACCCAGCCUGCUUCCUCUAGAAGGCACUGCCUGGCUCCCCCACUGAGGCUGGGAUGGGGCCCCUUCCAUACAGUCCCAGCACCUGCUACUUCUCUGAUCACUGCACUCAUCACAUUGAACGAUAAUUUCGUCUUUAAUUCCCAUCUUCCCACUUGAACUCUAUGUUAAGUAAGAAAUUAACAAAUGUUACUGUAACAAAUGACCACAAACUGAGUGGCUUAAAACAGGACAAAUUUACUAUCGUACUGUUCUGGAGGUCAGAAGUCUAAAAUAGGUUUCCUUGGGGUAAAAACAAGCUGCGUGUAGGGCUGUGUUCCUUCUGGAGGGUCUAGAUAGAAUCUGGUUUUUUGGUUUUUCCAGCAUCUAGAUUCUGCCCUCAUUCCUUGGCUCAUGGCUGCUUCCGUCUUCAAAGGCAGCAACAACCAGUUGAAUCUUCCUUACGUCACAUCUCUCUGACACCGACUCUUCUGCCUCCUCCUCCUCCUCCAUUUAAGGAUCCUUGUGAUCAUAUUGGGUCCACCUGAGUAACCCAGGAUACUCUCUCUAUUUAAAACAUUUUUUUUACAUUUAUUUAUUUUUGAGAAACAGAGUGAGACAAAGCGUGAGCGGGGGAGGGGCAGAGAGGGAAGGACACACAGAAUCUGAAGCAGGCUCCAGGCUCUGAGCAAGCGGUCAGCACAGAGCCUGAUGCAGGGCUCGAACCCACGACCCGUGAGAUCGUGACCUGAGCUGAAGUCGGUCGCUCAACCAAUUGAGCCACCCAGGCACCCCUACUCUCUCUAUUUUAAAGUCAGUUGAUUAGCGACUUUAAUUCCAUCUGUAACCUUAAUUCCUUUUGCCAUGUUGCAUAGUAUAUUGACAGCAUUCAAGGAUUAAGACAUGGACAUCUUUGGGAUCCAUUAUUCUGCCUACCACAACCUCCAAGCUCUGCGAAGACAGAAAAUGUUUCAUAGUCUCUGUUGUAUCCCCAGUACCUGGAGCAGGGAAGUGCACAUCUUAACCGAAACAAUAGCAGAGUCUCUCCUCAGAAGAUUUGCAGCCUCAGCGCGGCAUGCUUUGCUAUGACUCAGAGCCUGCAAAUGCUGAAAAUACUACCACCAUGUUCCUCGGGAUGACAAAUCCUCCCAAAUGCUAUCACUACGGACUUCCUUCCAUGGCAGGCUUCGUGCCCAGUCUGCAAGUCAGCGUAAGCCCUAAGGCUCUGGGCUUCAGGAAAGCAAGUUUGAUUUCUGGAGGCCAUGUGGCACCCGCUUAUUCUCGGUCACAAUACAUGCCAACGUGCGGCAGGCUGAUUAUGAUCAUACAUUUGCUAUUGUAAACUCCAGCAAGCUUGAGGCCUAAGCAUUGAAGCCGGUUCAAAAGUCAUCACAAGUUUUCUCUUCCAGGGGAAAAAUAAAGAACUUCCAAUUAAAGUGUAGAGUGGAGCUCCUUCCAUCCCGUUCCGCUUGCCUUUCCUAAACUUUCAAGAAUAAAAAUAAAUCAGUUUUCUGACGGC